AAAAAACGAUCCUUUUGUUCAUUUCAAAUCCUAUUAUUGUGAAAAGCGUUGGAUGCUUUAAGAGAGAGAGAGAGAGAGAACUACAAACAAAGACAUAUUUGCAAGGGUUUCUCUUGCCAAAAUACACAGCGAUAAGAUGCAUAAUCAUCGAGUAAUCACUUGAUGGUUUCCACUGUUCCUGCCCCAGCCGACCCUUUCCCGUUCAUUCUUCGUUUCUACGCUACUACAUGUUCUGUGUCGGGGGCCAUCAUCGGCCACUUCGAUGCCCUGUGUGCCUCUACACAAGUGAUCAUGUGAACAAAUGUGCCGUUGUUAGUGAGUCAGCAUGGCUCGGUUCGCAAGUCGAUAUCGAGAGUCUUCUGUCGACUGAGUUGGACGUCGAGGUAGGUCGGACCCUCGCGAAAGGAUAUUGAUAAGCGUUUCUCGGUCUAGCACCGUCAGCGUUGAGCAGCGUCUCUCCGUUCCCAGGCUGGUCGGCAGCCCGCCUUCAUUCACUGGAUGACGAUUCCCAGGUCGAGACGCUCGUGGCUCGGGGGUAGCCGCUUACCUACAAAAAUGGCCCUCAUCGGGUGAUUCCUGACUUUGGCUCAUUCGACGAGCAAGUCAGUAGUUGUGUUUCUC
rnacentral:lncRNA from 1 species